rnacentral:rRNA from 1 species
GCAUAUCAAUAAGCGGAGGAAAAGAAACUAACAAGGAUUCCCCUAGUAACUGCGAGUGAAGCGGGAAGAGCUCAAAUUUAAAAAUCUGGCAGUUCUUGAAGCUGUCCGAGUUGUAAUUUAGAGAAGUGUUUUCUGUGCCAGACUGUGUACAAGUCUCCUGGAAUGGAGCGUCAUAGAGGGUGAGAAUCCCGUCUUUGACACAGAACCCUGGUGCUAUGUGAUACACUCUCGAAGAGUCGAGUUGUUUGGGAAUGCAGCUCAAAAUGGGUGGUGAACUCCAUCUAAAGCUAAAUAUUGGCGAGAGACCGAUAGCGAACAAGUACCGUGAGGGAAAGAUGAAAAGCACUUUGGAAAGAGAGUGAAACAGUACGUGAAAUUGCUGAAAGGGAAACGCUUGAAGUCAGUCACAUCUGCUAGAACUCAGCCAUCUUAGGUGUAUUUUCUAGUUGGAUGGGCCAGCAUCAUUUUUGGCUGCUGGAAAAGGGCGGAAGGAAUGUGGCACCUUUAGGUGUGUUAUAGCCUUCUGUCAUAUACAGUUGCUGGGAGUGAGGAUUGCCUUUGUAGGAUGCUGGCAUAAUGGCUUUAAACGACCCGUCUUGAAACACGGACCAAGGAGUCUAACAUGCAUGCAAGUGUUUGGGUGUAAAACCCAUGCGCGCAAUGAAAGUGAAAAUUGGGAAGGCCUAGCCUGCACCGAUGCCCGGACUUGAGAUUUAUCGACAGUUCUGCGGUAGAGCAUGUAUGUUAGGACCCGAAAGAUGGUGAACUAUGCCUGAAUAGGGUGAAGCCAGAGGAAACUCUGGUGGAGGCUCGUAGCGAUUCUGACGUGCAAAUCGAUCGUCAAAUUUGGGUAUAGGGGCGAAAG